UGCCUCGGUGCACAAGGGCGACUGUGGCGAGCUGGGAGGCGGAGCCUGCUCCUGGCAGGACGGGACUGUCCCUGCUGCUCCUGGUAAAUCCUGUCACUUAGAAAAGAGGGGACUCUGGACUCGGGCACGGCCAGCCUGGGUCUCUGGAGAGCCCCGGCACUCCCAAAGGAGCCCUAGCAGUCACUUCUCAGGACACAAGCCUGUGCAGCUGGGCCUCACUGAGCUCUGAGAGGCCUCAGACCAUCCUGUCACCUACGCCCUGUCCAGGCCACUCCACCUGCCCCCUUCCUGCGAUUAACCCAUCUGCCCGUUUGUUCCCACCCAGCCCCCACUCACAUCAGCAUUCCAAGGGGCUCCCUCAAGGAGCUCAAGGGAACGAAGGCAGCAGGGCUCUCAGCUUCCCCCUCCCUGGGCCCUGUGACCGCGUUUCCUGGGACAUUUGUUCCCAAGCAUCAUGCCUUCUGGUGCCAGCCUGGUAUCUUGCCUCUGCUGAAAAGCCCCCAAGGCUAGGAAGUGUCCUCGCUCCUGUGGAGCCUUGCAACUUUGUGCCUGGUGCUAAGUCCUGGGGCAGCGGCUCCUCUGGCCUCUGGGGCCCUGCAAACCCUCCCUCGGUUUGGAGGAGAAGCUGCUGAGCUCAAAGGCAGCAAGGCCUGAGCAGCUGGCAGAAUAGAGGUGCCCAGAGGGAGAAGGGAGAGAGGAGACCAGCAGAGAGGAGUCACCUGUGUGGACAUGCCUGAGGCCUGGAAGCCUGGGGCCUGAGGGAUGAGGCGGUCCAGGCAGAUGCAGCCCCGAAGAGCCCGACUACCACCCGAGGAACAAGGUGCCGUGUCACGGGGCUCCUGCGACCUCCCCUCCGAGGCUGCUGCGAGAACCGGGCCCUUUAGACCAGCAGUCGCCAACCUUUCGGACCUCACGGACCACCAGUUGGCGACGCUGCUUUAGACCACCUCCAUCCUGGGACCAUGAAGAGCUGCAUCCCCUACAGCUGGCUGCCAGCUAAAGACGAGCCUGUACAUUAUUUAACUUUUAAUAAAGUAAACGAGGAACA